GUGGGGAAUAUUGCACAAUGGGCGCAAGCCUGAUGCAGCAACGCCGCGUGAGGGACGACGGCCUUCGGGUUGUAAACCUCUUUUAGCAGGGAAGAAGCGAAAGUGACGGUACCUGCAGAAAAAGCACCGGCUAACUACGUGCCAGCAGCCGCGGUAAUACGUAGGGUGCAAGCGUUGUCCGGAAUUAUUGGGCGUAAAGAGCUCGUAGGCGGUUUGUCGCGUCUGCUGUGAAAACCCGAGGCUCAACCUCGGGCCUGCAGUGGGUACGGGCAGACUAGAGUGCGGUAGGGGAGAUUGGAAUUCCUGGUGUAGCGGUGGAAUGCGCAGAUAUCAGGAGGAACACCGAUGGCGAAGGCAGAUCUCUGGGUCGUAACUGACGCUGAGGAGCGAAAGCGUGGGGAGCGAACAGGAUUAGAUACCCGAGUAGUCC
rnacentral:rRNA from 1 species